rnacentral:tRNA from 1 species
ACCGCGAUAGUUCAGCUGGUAGAGCAUCUGCCCGGUAUGCGGAUGGUAGCCGGUUCGAUUCCGGCUCGCGGCG